GUUCUGACCCUUUCGCUUCCCUUCGCGGAGGCGGUGGGUGGACGGAGGUCUGGGCAGACAGGCUCGUGGGGCUGUCAGAGGCGCUGGGGGCUGAAGUCCAGGCUGCCCAGGAAGAGUCAGAGGCCUGCGAUUGACCGCCCAGCUUGGAGAAGAGAAGUUGGGUAGAGAAGGCCAAGAUUUUGGCGGCAUCAAAGCCAGAUGUCUCAUCGAGGGGGCCCAGCUGAAAAGCGACGGUCACAGGAAACACACAGGAACUGAAUUCCAGGCACUGAAGAGCCACUCACUCUCCUUCAUUCUGGCGGGCGAGGUCUUCAGAGACCCCUGACACCUGUCCUCCGCCAGAAACAGGAGGGGUUUGUGUGGGAUGAUCCCUGAAGGGCUCCCACCUCUGACCCCCAAGACUGUGAAUUGAACCCCCUGGACUGUGUGCAGAAAAUGCAAGGAGGAGGAGGGAGCAAGCCAGACUCCAGGAGGGCUUAUUUAGGAGUGAGCCCUGUGCCUGCCCACAACUUCUAAUUAGAGGCAGGGUACCGGAUCUGCAUUUUCAUCAGCUCACAUUGAAAUCUGAAACAUACCACACUGACCUUUAUGAGAUUCCCAUAAACCACACCUUCCCAUCCUCUGCUUCCCCUGGCCCCCCAGGUCUGUCCUGCUGUUUCUUGAUUUCAUUCAGGUCUCUGCACAGAUGUCCCUCAGAGAGGUCUUUCCUGAUCUCUUGAUCUAACAGGGGACAGAUUUGAUUCCUGGUCAGAGAACCCACAUGCCUUGGAGCAACUACCUAGCCCAUGGACACAACUAGAGAGGAGGGAACUUUGGACCCAGAUGAGUACGGAAGGAAGACUGCAAGAACACACAGCGAGCAGCCAGCAGUCUAGGAGCCAAGGAGACAGAUUCUCCUUCCCAGCCUGCUGACAACUUGAUCUUGGACUUCGAAGCCUCCCGAACUAUGAAAUGACACUUUCAGCUGGUUAAGCGCCCUGCAGUCUGCAGCCCUUUGUUACAGCAGCCUGACAACCAAUGCAGGGUGCUGGUCUCAGAGCCCAGGGGCUGGCUCUGCCCUCUCUGGCUGGUGCCUCCCACCACGCAGUCCACCCAGUCUGGGGGCGGGGGGCGGUCUCCACAAGGACACGUUUGUGGUGAAGCCUCAGGUCACCCUGGGCUUCUUGGCUCCCUUAACUCUUGU